AUCUUUGCGCUUGGGGCAAUGACGUAGCUAGUGAGGUUAUGCCGAGGCGCGUCAAUUGCUGGUUGAAAACUAUUUCCAAACCCCCCUCUUUGGCCCUCCGGGGCCACCAAGAAUUUCUGUAAGGGCUCCCUCUCC
rfam:Triticum aestivum genome assembly, contig: Triticum_aestivum_CS42_TGACv1_scaffold_558647_7AL